AGUUUGAUCCUGGCUCAGGAUGAACGCUAGCUACAGGCUUAACACAUGCAAGUCGAGGGGCAGCAUUGGAGUAGCAAUACUUCAGAUGGCGACCGGCGCACGGGUGAGUAACACGUAUCCAACCUGCCGCUUACUCGGGGAUAGCCUUUCGAAAGAAAGAUUAAUACCCGAUGGUAUAAAGAGUUCGCAUGUUCUCUUUAUUAAAGAAUUUCGGUAAGCGAUGGGGAUGCGUUCCAUUAGAUUGUUGGCGGGGUAACGGCCCACCAAGUCUACGAUGGAUAGGGGUUCUGAGAGGAAGGUCCCCCACAUUGGAACUGAGACACGGUCCAAACUCCUACGGGAGGCAGCAGUGAGGAAUAUUGGUCAAUGGACGCGAGUCUGAACCAGCCAAGUAGCGUGAAGGAUGACUGCCCUAUGGGUUGUAAACUUCUUUUAUAAGGGAAUAAAGUGAGGGACGUGUCCCUUUUUGUAUGUACCUUAUGAAUAAGGAUCGGCUAACUCCGUGCCAGCAGCCGCGGUAAUACGGAGGAUCCAAGCGUUAUCCGGAUUUAUUGGGUUUAAAGGGAGCGUAGGUUGACAUAUAAGUCAGCUGUGAAAGUUUACGGCUCAACCGUGAAAUUGCAGUUGAUACUGUAUGUCUUGAGUGUACAAGAGGUGGGCGGAAUUCGUGGUGUAGCGGUGAAAUGCUUAGAUAUCACGAAGAACUCCAAUUGCGAAGGCAGCUCACUGGGGUACAACUGACACUGAGGCUCGAAAGUGUGGGUAUCAAACAGGAUUAGAUACCCUGGUAGUCCACACAGUAAACGAUGAAUACUCGCUGUUUGCGAUAUACAGUAAGCGGCCAAGCGAAAGCAUUAAGUAUUCCACCUGGGGAGUACGCCGGCAACGGUGAAACUCAAAGGAAUUGACGGGGGCCCGCACAAGCGGAGGAACAUGUGGUUUAAUUCGAUGAUACGCGAGGAACCUUACCCGGGCUUGAAUUGCAGAGGAAUAUAGUUGAAAGAUUAUCGCCGCAAGGUCUCUGUGAAGGUGCUGCAUGGUUGUCGUCAGCUCGCGCCGUGAAGUGUCGGCUUAAGUGCCAUAACGAGCGCAACCCUUAUCAUUAGUUACUAACAGGUCAUGCUGAGGACUCUAGUGAGACUGCCGUCGUAAGAUGUGAGGAAGGUGG
rnacentral:rRNA from 1 species